rnacentral:lncRNA from 1 species
GGUGCCAGCUCCCUUGCAGAGAUCGCAUCUGAUGGUUGAAAAUCUUCUUUUCUCUCAAGACAAUCUUAGAGAAGAAGAAGAACAUAAGAGGAUGUUGAUCUCUAUGCUAGAGAUCAUGAGAAGAACCCUUUCAUCUCCUUUCUUCCUAAAAUCUAUGCACCAAAUCUCUACAAUAGAGAUAUAAAAAUUUUUGUCCAACUUUUGGACAA